rnacentral:rRNA from 1 species
GUAUCCUGUCUGAAUAUGGGGGGACCAUCCUCCAAGGCUAAAUACUCCUGACUGACCGAUAGUGAACCAGUACCGUGAGGGAAAGGCGAAAAGAACCCCGGCGAGGGGAGUGAAAAAGAACCUGAAACCGUGUACGUACAAGCAGUGGGAGCACGCUUAGGCGUGUGACUGCGUACCUUUUGUAUAAUGGGUCAGCGACUUAUAUUCUGUAGCAAGGUUAACCGAAUAGGGGAGCCGAAGGGAAACCGAGUCUUAACUGGGCGUUAAGUUGCAGGGUAUAGACCCGAAACCCGGUGAUCUAGCCAUGGGCAGGUUGAAGGUUGGGUAACACUAACUGGAGGACCGAACCGACUAAUGUUGAAAAAUUAGCGGAUGACUUGUGGCUGGGGGUGAAAGGCCAAUCAAACCGGGAGAUAGCUGGUUCUCCCCGAAAGCUAUUUAGGUAGCGCCUCGUGAAUUCAUCUCCGGGGGUAGAGCACUGUUUCGGCAAGGGGGUCAUCCCGACUUACCAACCCGAUGCAAACUGCGAAUACCGGAGAAUGUUAUCACGGGAGACACACGGCGGGUGCUAACGUCCGUCGUGAAGAGGGAAACAACCCAGACCGCCAGCUAAGGUCCCAAAGUCAUGGUUAAGUGGGAAACGAUGUGGGAAGGCCCAGACAGCCAGGAUGUUGGCUUAGAAGCAGCCAUCAUUUAAAGAAAGCGUAAUAGCUCACUGGUCGAGUCGGCCUGCGCGGAAGAUGUAACGGGGCUAAACCAUGCACCGAAGCUGCGGCAGCGACGCUUAUGCGUUGUUGGGUAGGGGAGCGUUCUGUAAGCCUGUGAAGGUGUGCUGUGAGGCAUGCUGGAGGUAUCAGAAGUGCGAAUGCUGACAUAAGUAACGAUAAAGCGGGUGAAAAGCCCGCUCGCCGGAAGACCAAGGGUUCCUGUCCAACGUUAAUCGGGGCAGGGUGAGUCGACCCCUAAGGCGAGGCCGAAAGGCGUAGUCGAUGGGAAACAGGUUAAUAUUCCUGUACUUGGUGUUACUGCGAAGGGGGGACGGAGAAGGCUAUGUUGGCCGGGCGACGGUUGUCCCGGUUUAAGCGUGUAGGCUGGUUUUCCAGGCAAAUCCGGAAAAUCAAGGCUGAGGCGUGAUGACGAGGCACUACGGUGCUGAAGCAACAAAUGCCCUGCUUCCAGGAAAAGCCUCUAAGCAUCAGGUAACAUCAAAUCGUACCCCAAACCGACACAGGUGGUCAGGUAGAGAAUACCAAGGCGCUUGAGAGAACUCGGGUGAAGGAACUAGGCAAAAUGGUGCCGUAACUUCGGGAGAAGG